AGGGGUAUAGCUCAGUGGUAGAGCGCGUGCUUGGCAUACAUAAGGUCCUGGGUUCAAACCCCAGUGCCUUCA
rnacentral:tRNA from 1 species